UGACGGACACCACGUCUGACACUGUGGUCAGCAGUACAGGAGCACCGCAGGGGACAGUGCUGGCCCCCCUUCUCUUCACCCUAUACACCUCAGACUUCUGCUACAGCUCGGAGCUGUGUCACAUCCAGAAGUUUGCAGAUGACACAGUUAUCAUGGGGUGUAUUAGGGAUGAUAGAGAAGAAGAGUACAGGAGUCUGGUGAAUGACUUUGUUGUCUGGAGCCAAAGGAACCACCUGCACCUCAACACCUCAAAGACUAAAGAGCUAGUCAUGGACUUUGGGAAGUCCAGACCGUGUCCACGUCCAGUGCUGGUCAGGGGUGAUGAGGUGGAGGUUGUAGGUAACUACAAAUACCUUGGGGUUUGGCUGGAUAACAAGCUGGACUGGUCAUGUAACUCAGAACACCUGUACAAGAGGGGCCAGUGUAGACUGUACUUCCUGAGGAGACUGCGAUCUUUUAACAUCUGCAGGAAACUGCUGCAGAUGUUUUACCAGUCUGUGGUUGCCAGUGCCCUCUUCUAUGCUGUGGUGUGUUGGGGUGGCAGUACAUCCACAAAGCACUCAAACAGGUUGGACAAGCUGAUCAGGCGAGCUAGCUCUGUGGUUGGCACAAAGCUGGACUCUCUGGUGACAGUUGCAGAGAGGAGAUCCAGAAACAAACUGCUGGCUAUUAUGGACAACGCCAGUCACCCUCUGCAGCCUGUCAUCAGUGCACAGAAAAGCCUGUUGAGUGACAGACUGCUUCUCCCCAGGUGCAGAACCAACAGAUUCAAAGACUCCUUUGUCCCCCGAGCAAUAAAACUGUAUAACUCUGCACUAGGUGGGAGGGGGAGGAGUAGCAGGAAGAAAGAGGGAUUGGAGAAGAUGGGACACUAAAAAAAACUGAAUAUUUAUGGUUGUACAUUUGUUGUUUAUAUAUUUCAAACUGUGUGCUUUCUUUUACUGUUCUUGUCGGUGCUGUACCUGCUGGAACAACAAUUUCCCUGACGGAGACCUCCCAAGGGAUUAAUAAAGUCUAUCUUAUCUUAUCUUAUCUUAUCUUAUG
rnacentral:lncRNA from 1 species